GAUGAACGCUGGCGGCGUGCCUAAUACAUGCAAGUCGAGCGAACAGACGAGGAGCUUGCUCCUCUGACGUUAGCGGCGGACGGGUGAGUAACACGUGGAUAACCUACCUAUAAGACUGGGAUAACUUCGGGAAACCGGAGCUAAUACCGGAUAAUAUAUUGAACCGCAUGGUUCAAUAGUGAAAGACGGUUUUGCUGUCACUUAUAGAUGGAUCCGCGCCGCAUUAGCUAGUUGGUAAGGUAACGGCUUACCACGGCGACGAUGCGUAGCCGACCUGAGAGGGUGAUCGGCCACACUGGAACUAAGACACGGUCCAGACUCCUACGGGAGGCAGCAGUAGGGAAUCUUCCGCAAUGGGCGAAAGCCUGACGGAGCAACGCCGCGUGAGUGAUGAAGGUCUUCGGAUCGUAAAACUCUGUUAUUAGGGAAGAACAAAUGUGUAAGUAACUAUGCACGUCUUGACGGUACCUAAUCAGAAAGCCACGGCUAACUACGUG
rnacentral:rRNA from 1 species